rnacentral:rRNA from 1 species
GGACUACUGGGGUAUCUAAUCCCGUUCGCUCCCCAUGCUGUCGUGUCUGAGCGUCAGUUGCGAGCCAGGGCGCCGCCUUCGCCUCUGGGGUUCCUCCGGAUCUCUACGCAUUUCACCACUACACCCGGAAUUCCACGCCCCUCUCUCGCACUCCAGAAGACCAGUCUGGCAUAACCCUGCCCGGUUAAGCCGGGCCAUUUCAUACACCACUUGGUCCCCCGCCUGCACACCCUUUACGCCCAGUAAAUCCGGAUAACGCUCGCCACCUACGUUUUACCGCGGCUGCUGGCAC